UCAAUCCUAUCAUAUAUAUAUAUGGUUGAUUUCUCCGUACCAAUUACAAUAAUGUUAUUGUCAUCAUGAUCGAAAGCUAAGAAAGUUGGUGCAGAUGACAACAACGUGAUUGUUUCCGUUACCUACAUCACAUAUACAUUAUAGAAGACAUGCACACAUGAUCAUUUAUAAAGCCAAAUGUGAUAAUUAAGAGUUAAACUAGUUCGAUAGCCAU